GGCAAGUUGUCUUCCAAAUGAUUUUGCUGCAAAUAGAGAAGUUAUAAUAAUGUUAGCUUCUAUUAAUGAACAUCAAGUUUUUCCAAAAAUAAAUAUGAUAAAGUAGUCAUUUCCUUUGGAAAUGUGACAUGCACUGACAUCGUAAUCCUUUCUAGAUUAAUAUUGAUGUUAGUAGCAAGGUUCAUGAAGCAAUGUGUCAAACUCAUAUUUGAUUAUAUUCAAAGUCAAAAUAUCAAAAUCACUUAAUAUCUUAACAAGCUUUUCAACUAUAUGAAAUUUGCAAAAUUUUAAAAAAAGUGAUUUAUCAUAUGCGAUGUGAGAAUAUGAUGCGAACCUCCAUGGGUGGUUUGCUUUCUCUGCCGAUCGUUCUUGCCUGAAAAUUAAUAUAACUCACGGAAUAACACUUUUAUAUAAUGGCCACAUUUUGUGUCACGAUUUUAUGAUAAAUAUGGGAGGCAAAGUAUAUGAAUAUGUAUGGUUUAACGUAAGGCACAAUCAAUAUAUAUUUUUGUAUUUUUAUUUUUAUGUUUGGAUAAAAGAAAAUGGAUAAGAAUGAAGGUGGAGGCGCCACAAGCAAAGUAGCUUGAUAAGUCAAGGAGGUUCGCCACAAGGAAUGAUCAUUGACAAGAACAAGGUUAAGGCGUCACACCAAUGGUGAUAAGCCUAUGAACGCCACAAAAACUAGUCUUGAUAAGUUCUAAGUUAGGAACAAUGCGCAACUAAAGAGGAAUUAAUCCAAACAACAUUCAACUUGAUUCAUUCAUCAUGAAUGGAAUACAUAAAUAGGGAAAUUUUGAAUUGACUAUGCCUAAUUUGAAAUUUGAAAUUCUAAUUAAAACAUGUAAUUAAAUGGUUUUUAGUUGGAGUUUAAUUAAAACAUGUUAUACCCUUAAUGAACCAUUCAGAAAUAAAAGAAGCAUUCAUAAUUUUUUUGAUCGGUAGAAAUUGAAUUUUAGAAAAUUUACCUUUUCACCAUAAAAGUUGAAUCUACAUCGUAGAGAUUUUCCUUCAACAUAUCAACAUCACCCACAGAAAUAUUUCCAUUGGGAUCAAUAUAAAAACCAAUUUCUCUUAAAGGUAGAGGAUCAGGUGGUUCUUCCUUAGAAAAUAAUUCACCAAUUUCCUGAAAAAAUUGCUUAACAAAGAUUGACAAUGGACUUCCAUGAGAGGAGUUUGUAAAUAAAAAUUUCUCACAACGAGGUAGGUUCAAGACUUGUUUUGAAAUCAAAAUAAUAUCAAACCCACUUUUUUUGUAAAAUAAAUUUAUUUGCUCUCCCCAUCACCCUCAUGAAUUUUUCUCUCAUCCUCAAUAAUAAUUUUAUUUGAAUUUGUUUCCUCAAUCUUUCCACUACUCUCAUUUUCAUGCUUUUUUCCACUCUUAUUUUUUCUUCUUUUUCUAGCUUACUUUUAUUCUCACACUCUUGUUUUUCACACACCCUUUCCUUUCUAUCCUCCUCCAUCUUUUCUCUCAACCUUUAUUGAUCUUCAUUUACUUGCUUAGGAGAUAAUGGAGACAACACAACCUUUUGAUUUUUGUGUAAAAAUGUGAACUUGUUUGAAAAGCAAUCAUGCAUGGUUCUUUCAUCAAAUUGUCAUGGACGACCUAAAAGUAUAUGGCUGACCUCCAUAUGAGUCAUAUCACAAAGAACCACAUCUUCAUACUUCCCUAUAGAAAAGGAAACUUCAACUUGUUCAUUGACAAUUAUUUCUCCAACCUCACUUAACUAUUGAAGCCGGUAAGGAGUGAGAUGUGGUCUAGUCACAAGAUUUAGCUUUGAGACUAAUCUUGGACUAACCAUAUUGGUACAGCUGCCACUAUCAAUUAUAAAUAAGCAUACCGUACCUUGGACCAAACAUCUAGAAUGAAAGAUGUUGUCCCUUUGGUUGACAUCAUUUUCCAUAACUUGAUUUUCCGGAAGUUUCCUCACUAAGAAAGAUUUACAUGUGACAUGACUCAGAACUUUCAAGCUAAACGUGGCUCUGAUACCACUUGAUGCGAACCUCCAUGGGUGGUUUGCUUUCUCUGUCGAUCGUUCUUGCCUGAAAAUUAAUUUAACUCACGGAAUAACACUUUUAUAUAAUGGCCACAUUUUGUGUCACGAUUGUAUGAUAAAUAUGGGAGGCAAAGUAUAUGAAUAUGUAUGGUUUAACGUAAGGCACAAUCAAUAUAUAUUUUGUAUUUUUAUUUUUAUGUUUGGAUAUAAGAAAAUGGAUAAGAAUGAAGGUAGAGGCGCCACAAGCAAAGUAGCUUGAUAAGCCAAGGAGAUUCGCCACAAGGAAGGAUCCUUGACAAGAACAAGGUUAAGGCGCCACACCAAUGGUGAUAAGCCUAUGAACGCCACAAGAACUAGUCUUGAUAAGUUCUAAGUUAGGAGCAAUGCUCAACUAAAGAGGAAUUAAUCCAAACAAAAUUCAACUUGAUUCAUUCAUCAUGAAUGGAAUACAUAAAUAGGGAAAUUCUAAAUUGACUAUGCCUAAUUUGAAAUUUGAAAUCCUAAUUAAAAAAUGUAAUUAAAUGGUUUUUAGUUGGAGUUUAAUGGCUGAUUUGAUUUGGCCAUGUGUUGGCCGAAAUCCCUUUGGUGCAUUCAGCCGUGUGGCUAUUUGAAAUUGACAAAUUGAUUGUGCCUUAUCUCUUGUUUGGCUGAAUUGAUUAUGACGGAUUAGAUCUUGAAAAGGAAAGUUCAUAAUUGUUGAACUAAUCUCUUGAUCUUCAUGUUUGGUCGUGAGUUUAAAUUCAGACUUGAAUGAGAUGAUUGGACUUUUAUCCUUGACUUGAAUGUCUUGAAUGAGACAUGAUUACUUGCCUUUCUUGAAUGAUCCUUAACUUGAAUGCCAUGAAUGAGACUUGAUUACUUGUCUUUCUUAAAAUAAGCUUGAACCAAUUUGAAAUGGUCAUUCAUUUGCUUUCAAAUCCUUCAUUUAUUACUAGGCUGAUUGGAUUGAUAGAAACUUACCUUAUUAGACUCUCUCCAUGCCAAUUUGAAAUUGGUCUAUCAAUAUUGUCUCCUUGCUUAAUUAUUAUGAUGAUUCCAUAUGAUCUAGUUGUGCCCUCCUAGGACUUUACCACUUGCCACUAUUGGACCAUGUUAUAAGGAAUUAAAAUAAAUUCCCAACCCUCAUUUUACAUGAUUUUAAUAAAAUACUUAGACAAUAAUUAAAAUAAAUCCUAAGACUACCCAUGAGAAUUAUUCUCAUUUAUCCAUGCAAUAAAAUAAUAACUAAAAACUAUCAUAAUUUCCUUCCAAGAAUGUAGGUUCCAAGUGACUCUCCUACUUGUAAGAUUGUCCUCUAGAAUCAUAGGUUGCACCCUUGGUUUAUAUCAGAAUAUAUUUAAAUUAUAUAUUCAGAGAUAGAUUAUAGUCUUAACCAUAUUACAACCAUGAUAGUAGAAAUGAAUAAGAAAUUAUCUUAUCAUUAUUUGGAACAUGUAUCGAUGUAGAAGUGCUUGGCGUUGAUAACAUUGUUACUAAUGCCUCCACAUCUACUCAUGAGUUGUUUUGAUUUAUGACAUUCCUUAGCAAAAUUUGAAAUUUUUGUUCCAUUGAUGACAUUUUCUACUUAUGUUUUGCCUCCAUUUCCUCAAUUUUAUCAUUUAACAAUUUCAAUUCUUCAGCAUGUAUUGUUACAUUCAGCACAAGGACACAAAAUUUAUCCUCCUUGCGGUUUUCCAUUGGUGUAAGCGUAAUUCAGAAAAAACUCAACACCAUCAAUGUACUCCGAGCUAUAUGUAACACUACGAAUUUUACUACCUUGAAAAUAUAUGUUUUUAUUAAUUAUAUUUUCGAAAAUGAAUUUCUGGGAAUUUUCGGUAAAGAAUUAGACGAAACUCUAUUUGAGUUUUAGUCUUGUAAUUCUAUUUCCAACUUGGUGGUAAAUUUUCAUGAUUUUCGGAGACAGUCAGUUUCGUACCGCUGUCGAAGCCGAAACUCACCCGGUACGGCUCAAAAAGUGGUUUUUGAGUUCCUAACUCGGAUUCGAAUUCCGAUCACGCCGUUGGCUUCGUAAUCACAUUUCGAGUCAAGAUAGACCCUGAGCUGGUCCAUAACUAUUUUCUAAAAUAUUUUCACUCGGAAUGCCGAAAUUCGAAGUUCCAACCGUAAAGUAAAAUAGGGCGAUCAUUUUUUGCUACUCAAGCAUGGUUUUAAUCACGCGCGUUUCGCCGAAGUCGUCGCGUCGCAUGAGUCACUUCACAAAAUCUACCUACUAAAUCUUAUAGAUUUCACUCAUUAAUGCCUUGAUUUACUACCCCUAAAUCACUCAACAAAUCAUCUCACUCCACCACCAUUAGACACAUCACCUAUGCUAAUCUAAAUCUACUUACCUUGCAUUAAAUUUUAUGAUUUGAUGAAGGUGAGGCUCUCCUAUAAAUACCCCACUCCAUUCUCUCAUUUUUACACUAAAUUUUCUAUACAAACUAAGGUAGUUUUUUAUGUUUCUUCUUCAUCUUCUUCUCAUACUUAAUAGAAAGUUAUGAGGUUUUAUUAUGUUGUUCAUAAAGUAGAGUUUAUAUUUGUUCUUUAAGUAUUUUAUGAAGGCAUAACUAAAGGGGAUGAUAAUAAAAUCAAGUGAACCUUUAUGUAGUUUUUGACCUUUGUAAAUCAUGAAAUUACUUCCUUGUUCUUAGAUGGAAAAACUAUAUCUUUGNNNNNNNNNNNNNNNNNNNNNNNNNNNNNNNNNNNNNNNNNNNNNNNNNNNNNNNNNNNNNNNNNNNNNNNNNNNNNNNNNNNNNNNNNNNNNNNNNNNNAUUUAAAAAUGAUAAUUCUAGCUUAAUGAUCUUAUUUUAAAAGGUUAGUUUUAGUAAAAAUGUUUUAUUUACAAAAAAUAAGAUUUAUGAACUAUCGGAAAAAUGUAAUGAAGUGGGAAUACAUGUCUUGAAAGGUUAUGUCUAAGGAAAGACUUGGUAUUUGAGGGUGUCUUUACGAGCCAUCUCUCUUUCCUGGGAACUAUCCUGGUGUAUAUCCAUGGAUUACGACAUAAUUUCGGUAUAAGUUUUAUUGAAAAUCUUACUUUAAAGAGUAUUAUUUGAUUUCAAGACUUUCAAUGACAAAUGAUGAUUCAAGGAUAUUCAACCUUGGUUUUUAUGUUUCUUCUUCAUCUUCUUCUCAUACUUAAUAGAAAGUUAUGAGGUUUUAUUAUGUUGUUCAUAAAGUAGAGUUUAUAUUUGUUCUUUAAGUAUUUUAUGAAGGNNNNNNNNNNNNNNNNNNNNNNNNNNNNNNNNNNNNNNNNNNNNNNNNNNNNNNNNNNNNNNNNNNNNNNNNNNNNNNNNNNNNNNNNNNNNNNNNNNNNGAAAGUUCUAUCUUCGCGUAAAAAGUUAUUUCAUAAGUAUAAUAAUUAUCGUCAGUUAACUAAUUAACGUGAUUUUGGCGUAAUGAAGAGUUCGAGAGGAGAUCGGAUCAAGUAAGCUCACCUGCAAACAGAGAACCUUGCGACCCGACACACUCAGGUGAGAGAGAACACAUUGUGACAUAGUAGUGUCCGAAUAUGACAACCAGAUCUCCUAAACCAUCUCAAAGGUUUUGGGGUUAACUUGGGUUUUAAGAAACCCAAGAUUUUUAUGUUUGAAUGCUUUUGAAUAUAUAUGAUUGUUGAUGAAAUGUGUUGAAUAUGGUAUAUGAAUGUUGUUGGGAGCUUUUCUGGGUGCAGGUGUUUGAAAAACCAUGUGAAAAUACGUUUGAUUAGCCGAAAAGGCCAAAAUUGGAAUCAUGUCCAGGUCUUUCUCGCUUGGACGAGCGGGUCUCGCUCGGGCGAGAGAAGUCCGUCGCUUGGGCGAGAAACAAUUCUCGCUUGGGCGAGAGAUGCCCNNNNNNNNNNNNNNNNNNNNNNNNNNNNNNNNNNNNNNNNNNNNNNNNNNNNNNNNNNNNNNNNNNNNNNNNNNNNNNNNNNNNNNNNNNNNNNNNNNNNUUAAAGAAAGUAAUCCGAGAAGGAUGUAUGAUUCAGAGCGAUGCCCAUAAAAGGAUACGUGAUACCAUGGAGCGAGAUCGUCUGACCGUAAGUGGCUUGGUCUGGGACUGUCUAGGGUGAUUCAGCGAUGGUCGUAGUGGUAGGGACGUUACCCUUUGAGUUAUGAUGUGAAUUAGGGCACUGCCCAGAAAGGAACCCAGGAUACCAUGUAGCCAGAUCGGCUGACCGUAAGAAGCUUGGUCUGGGACCGUCCAGGGUAUUCAGUGAUGGUCGUAGUGGUGGGAUGUAUUUCCUUUAUUUUACAUGUUAACCUAAGAUCGAGACCCACAAGAAGUAUUCCUGAGAGAGAUGACUUAAGGUGGGCGGAACAUGGUAAAUAAUGAUUAAAAGAUUUAAUCAUCUAACUGCGGUUAGUGUUCAUAUGCAUAUGGUUAAUAAUGGAGUAGUGGAGAGGAAAUUGACGGGAUGACUUAGAGCACCGUGAUGUUGAGAGGGACGGCGUUGUUGGACGGUGAUUCAUCAACAAUGCCUUGAGGGAGAGUCUAGGUGAGGUGAGACCCUUGUAUUCCUGAGAGAGGAUAUCCUGUUGGAUCGGACAGUUCUCACAGGCCAAACUAGACGAUCUCUGACAACCCCUCUUUGCAAUCUGAAUCAAUGAGAUGGAUGCCCAGAAAGCGUAUGUUACGACACCGUCCUGUUAUGGACUGUUCCUAUGGAACUUAUUGAUCAAUUGGCUUAUGAAAUGCUUUUUGGUGCGUACAAAGUGGCUUGGUAUGGGACCUGUACUCUUGAUUUGUUUCCGACUAGGUUAUUGGGAGGAUAUUGGUGUAAGGUGGAUGAUCAUGACAUAGCAUGCAUAUAUUGCACUUGUGGAAGUGGAUUCCCACAUUGAGUUAUAAACAUCAUGCAUCAUUAACAUUAUGCACAUAUUAUUACUUAUGGUUAUGAUAUUUGUUUAUGAAAUGUAUGUUGAUACAUUAUGGUUUAUGUUGAUAAACGAUGAGUUAUGAUGUCGGUUAUAGAUAAUAUAUGCGUAUGUUAUUAUUUGGAGUAUGAUCCCCACUUAUGUGUUAUUUAAUUAUAGUCAUGACAUCUUGUCGAUGAAUGAUAUAAUGCUAAAUGGUGAAUUAUGAUAUUGAUGGGAAUAAGUGUUGUUUACAUUACAUAGGUUGAUGAGAUAAUUGUUUAUGAGAUCAAUUGAUGAAUUUGGUUAUAUUACUCAUGUGGAUUAGAUAAUUGUUUAUGAGAACAACUGAUGAGUUAUAAUGUUUAUAUAUAUAUAUAUAUGAACUGUUUUUCAUAUCUGAGUGUAAUAUUCUGAGUAAGUCCACACCGUCAAUGAAUUAUAUUCAUUAGAUGUCUUAUUCUCUCUAUUUCUCUUCUUUUCUAUUGCUUGCUUUUCAAACGUGUGCUCGUCAGAUAGAGAGCUUUGCUCGGAUUUAGAGCUACCCGUCCGUGAUGUUCCAGGAGGGGGCAUGCGGAAUUGAGGAGAUGCGGUACCCUAGCUUUGGAGUUGGCCACUAGGAGUCGCUUAUCAUUUUGUGACUUUUGAAACACUAACGGCUUCAGUUUGUUCAUACCUUUGUUUAGUGUCUUUUGGCGAUGAUUAAUAUUUCCGCCUUUUCUUGUUGGAUAUGUAUAUUAAGUACUUAUGAUCUUUUAUAUCUAUGAAGAUGUAUAUUUAGGAAAUGUUGUAUCAUUUCAGUUACCGUUAGGUAACCGGUUUUGAUUUCCGCGUUAUAUGUUACUUAAAGUGAUGUCAUAGAAAAGAAAGGUUUUUAAAAGGAAACAAUUUUAUAUCACCAAUUCAAAAAAAAAUAUUUACUCACUUUUCUGCGUAAUAAAUAAAGAGUAUUUUUCGGGGUGUUACACUAUACCUUGGCAAUUUAAUCCAAUCUUUGUCCAUCAAGAUAACUAGAAUUUUGGACAAUAAAAAUAAGUAAAUUGGUCAUUUAAGCUAAUUGAAAGCAUGCCUCAGAUGUUGAUCUCUAAAGGCUUUAGUAUAUCACAAAAUAAAUACAAUAUUAAAAAAAAUCAUUUAACUAUUACUUUCCAUGCAAGUCUUAAAAAAUAUGUAGAGGAAAAAAAAGAAUGAAAAUAGACAUUUGAAAAAGCAAGUAAAGUGACUUCACUAGAUAAAGCAGUCAUUGAACAGUAAAUUGUGGAAUUUCCUUCCAUAAAACAUCCCUUAAUUUGAGAUGUAGCCGCCUAACUUAACACAUAAAUCACGUUUAUAGCAAAGUCAUACUAAGCCCCAGAGUUGGGGAUAUUAAGUUUCUUAUGAAAAUGCACAUGAUACCUACCAUAUACCAUGCAUGCCUUUUCACAUAAACAUUUAAAUAAAUUGUAGUCUGUCCUUUAUCAUUAUAUUUAGGAGUCUAAGCACUAUUGUUUUGCAUGCAAAUUUAGUUAGUUUAUGAAUAGGAUAUGUACUUGAUUUAUAUUCAUUGCAAGAACCAGUUACUAAGAAAAAAGUAAAGACAAGAACCUAAUCAACACUAAGCAAAGUAAAGAUUAGAGAUUUUCACCAUUAUAAAAAAAGGGUGUUAAAUCCACCAUAUCAUAAGAGACACUGAUCAAAUAACCACAUAAAAGUUCUCUGAAAGUGCAUGAUAACUUUAGCCAAAGCGAAUGAGUAAAUUUAUUAUGUGGGGAUAAAUUUAUGCAUAUAGUAUGCAUUAUGAUUCCAACCAGUAAAAUUACCUUAAACAAGAAUGAAAAAGUGAAGACCAUAUAAAGAUGAUAUGGCUAGACCAACAAGCCGAUACUUAGUGGAUGCAUUUGAUGGAAUCCAUAUGCUUAGUGGAUGCAUUUGAUGGAAUCCAUAUGCUUAGUGGAUGCAUUUGAUGGAAUCCAUAUGCUCAGGGUAGAGCACAAGCAACUAGUUAAAAUUCAAGACUUGCAGUGUUUUCUUAAUAAGCAACUUGGUGCUAUUUAUAUGAGGAAAAAAUGUUCAUGUCCUACCAUAGAUAAGCAUAAAACUCCAUUUAGUUUAAUACAUCAUUAUACUUGGUAUUCCAUAAUCCUAAAACAAACAGACUUUCUCAAUCAUUGUCUUUCACUUUAACCAAACACAAAAUCAUCCUAUUAGAAGCCUUCUGCUUUUAAUGCAUUGAAAUGAUCAGUUCAAAUUAACAUAAAUUCCAUAGCAAAAGAAGCUAUAUUCUAAAUUAUGUAACUCUGGCUUUACUGAGUCAUUGUCCCAAAGUCAUACAAAUAAAUUAAAGCAAACAUCAAAACUAGAUGAAUAAAACCAAGUAACCAAUAUUAUUGGAUUUCAUAGAACAGAGUAAGACUUGUGUUACAUUUAAUUUUCUCUUGUUCAAAGUUAAUUGAUGAAAAAAUAAUCAAGAUUGGUUCCUGGUUCGAGUGCAGGUUGCUAAAUGCAUAAAGAUUGGGUUGCCUAAGCUGAUAUAGCUGGUUUUUCUUUCACAGGUAGAGUACUUUUACUAACAUAAUCUUAAUUAGUCCAUUUUUUACUCAUGGGUGGGAUUGGAUGAUUGAAAAGCAAAUUUUUAGAAUGUCAAAGUUACUAUGGACUAGAAAAAGGUCUAUUGAUUUAAGAACCAAUGAGUAAGGUGCAUUUAUGUUUGCUACUUCAAUCAUGAUUGUGUUAUGUUCCUGAUUGAUUAGUAGCAUACACUAGCAUUGCUUCCCUUUAAGAAAGGAUGGAGCAGACUCCUUAUUCUGGACAAGUGGUUCCAAGUCAUAUGAUAGGGUUUGAAUUAUGUUCAUGAUUGAUUAGUAGGGUACACUAGCAUUACUUCAAUCAUGAGAAAUAUUUGUUGGUUUUCUUUACUUUUCUAGCAUGGUAUUUCUAUGAAACUGAGUUUAAUAUGGUUGUCAUGCAGUUUGUACCCAAUGUGCUACAUUUAGGAAAACAUGUCUUUGACCAUUUUGCUAUUUUAUUUACAAUUGCAAUUGUGUGGCUAUAUGCUUACAUACUCACUGUUGGAGGGGCCUAUAAGAAUGUUGCACCUAAAAGGCUAAAACACAUUCAACUUGCCUAUUAGUCCAUUACACCAAAGUUUAAAAAGCAUCAAUAGGCGCUUACAGAAUUGAUUUUUGUUGUUUAUUGUUGAUUGGGUAUUUCGUUUUUUCUAUGGGAGCUAUAGCUUAUUUUUCACUACUUGCUUACACUUAACUUUUUUCUUCUUGUAUUUGAGCUCUGUUGUUGUGUUAGUUUACAAUUAUCUCAUGCAUUUUCGGUACCAAUGGUACCUAGAAUCUUAUUUCAUCAACAAAAAAUUUUAUGAUAAAAUGAAAAAAAAUAUCUAUACAAUAAUAGAAACAAUCAUAACAUGUCAAUUAAAAAAUAUGACAACACAUAAUCUUAAGACACAAGAGUGUAGCAAUUAAUUGCAUACCUAUUCAAAGCAUGGUCUAAAUCCCUAUAUUUCAAACCGUAAAUUGAAAAUGAAUAAAAUGAAUAGCAUUACUCAUAUCCUCUAAUCUCAUAACCACAUAAGAUAAAUACACAUAAAUAAAAAUGAAAUAUCAUUACCUAACCAAAUCAAAGAAACAAUGGAAGCAUAACUGUAAAUUGCAAACACACAUGCUUGGAGCUUGCAAAAAAAAACAAUAAAAAAGAAAAGAGUGAGUGGGUACCUUAGGGUGUGUUUGGGAGUGCCACUUUGGAGGGGGAGGGAAGGAAAGGGAGGGUUUAGGAGAGGAAUUCCCUUAUUUGGAAGUUUAGUGGAGGAGAGGGGAAGCUUUUGAAGGAUUUUUCAAACCUCCAAAUUUGGGAUGUUUUGGGAGGAAAAUAAGUCAAAUUACCUAACUACCCUUACUAAUAUUAUUCUAUAACAUAUAAUAGAUAACAUACUGUUAAUUUUAAUUUUUUAAAUGAGGAAGAGAGAUAAAAUAGUAUUUUUGUAUUAUAUUAAUACUCCUAUUUAAAUUCCACACUCCCAAACAAAUGAGGGGUUUAGUUAGAUUUGUCAUCCCUUCUCCUUUCUUUCUUCCCCUCUUUACCCUCUCAUCCCUCUCAUUUCCUUUCCCUUCUAACUCCCAAACAAAGCCUUAG
rnacentral:lncRNA from 1 species